CCGAAGCAGAGAAGCUCCUGCCCCUGGCUUAAAAAUUGACUAUCCUGGCUAAAAACAAAAUAUUCCCUUUGCUUCUUCAGAGAAGAUUCAACAGGAAGGACAAUAGCAUCUAGUGCCUCCAUUGAGAUUUUUUAAAAAUAAACUUUUUAUUUUGGAAUAAUUUCACUUUUACAGAAAAUUUACAAAUUAAUACGAAGAGUUCUCAUGUUCCCCUCUCCUAGUUUUCCCUAUUGUUAACAUCUUACAUCACCACAGUACGUUCAGAAAAACUAAGGAACAAACAUUGACAGGUUACUAUUGUUAGUUAAACUCUAUAAUCUUUAUUCAGGUUUCACUAGCUUUUCCAUGAAUGUCCCUUUUUCGGUUCCAGGAUUUCAUCCAGCAUAUCAGAUUACAUUUAGUUGUUGUGUCUUCUUAGUUAUAAUUUUCCAGUCUUUCCUUAUUUUGAUACUUUGAUAAUUUUGAGAAGUAUUGGUCAGGUACUUUAUAUAAUGUCCCUCCAUUUGGGUUUGCAAAGUAUUUUUUUCAUGAUUACACUGGGGUUAUGGGUUUCUGGGAGGAAGACCACCAAGGUAAAGUGUCCUCUCAUCACAACCUGUGGGAUGUACCCAGGUGCUGUCCACAUGAUUUACCUGUGGUUCCACCAUGAUUUGAAGGCAGAGGGCAGGCUCUGAGAAGCCUCCUACAGGAUGAGGGUCUUGAUUCAGAGUCCUUCCCUCUGGAUGCACAAGACCAUGGAUUGCUGAUCAAGAAGGACCCUGCAAAGCUGGAGAUGGGGUGGAGUGGGGCAGUGCUGCACAUGGGAAGAGCAACAGACUAGAAGCCAGGUCUGUCUGGCACUAGUCCUGACUUCACCGCUUCUGAGCUGCGUGAUGUUGAGUGAGAGUCUUUAACCUCCCUGGCCUCAGUUUCCUCAUUCACCAAUCAGUAUGUAACCCCUUCCCCUCCCUUCCUUCUAGGGUUGGCAACUGGAUCAAAUGACAUUAGAUUUGAAAAGACUUUAAAAAGUAUAAAAGACAGUACAUAGAUGGGAAGUCAGUCUUUAAGCCUGCUUUGGAUUUUCCAGCAUUUCAGCUCCAGCAGGAGGAGAAAGAUUUACUUUCUAUUUACUUAUCACUGUUAACAAGCAAACACAUACAAGUCAUAUGGGUGUGUGUGUGUGUGUGUAAUCUUUUAACUUUUUUAAAAGUCUGAUUUAUUGAAAUAUAUUUACAUAUAGUAAAAUUCAUCCUUCUUAUGUGUACAGUUCUGAGUUUUGACAAAAAAUACAAUCAUGUAAUCCUUACCACAAUUAAGAUAGAGAACACGAGACAUAGAAUACUUCCAUGACCUCUUCACCCCCAAAUUCCCUCACACUUCUGUCAUCAACCCAUUCCCCUACUCUUAGCCCCUGGCAAUAUUGACCUGUUUUUUGUUCCUAUUUUCUACAAUGUCAUAUGAAUUGAAUCAUGUUGCCUUUAUUGUUUUUAGUUCUAAAAACAACAUUAUUGAGGUAUAACUGAUAUACAAUAAAAUGCACAUACAAAAGUAUACAACACGUAAGUCUUGGUUAUGUAUACAUUUGUGAUAUCAUCCCCACAAUCAGGACAGUGAACAUAUACCCAUCACCCUAAAAGUGUCCUCAACUUCUACUGUCACUGCUUUUCAGCAAACUGAUGGUUCUCUGCAUGUACUCUGAGGCACAGUGCUCACUCCCACUGUUAUGCCCUCCUUCAGGUGGCUUUCUUUCCCUUAAGCUACCACCUGGCCCUUUUGAUCUCUCCAAAUCCUGCCCAUCCUUCAAGUCUACGCUUUAGCCCUCCCCACCACCCAAUGUCUAAAGGGUCCUUUAAAGUUAUCCUUUGAGAAUAAUUCAGCCCACACUUGCUACUUCCUUCUCUACUCCUAAUGUACUUACAGACAACCUCUCAUUGUGGUCUUUCUUUAUAUAACAGUGUUUGUAUCUUACUGUCCUAAGGUGAGUGGCCCAGUGUUUAGCAGCAUGGUCUCUGGGGUUAGAUAGUUAGGUUCAUAUAGUUAACCUUAGGCUCCUGUUUAACCUCUGUCUCUGUGUCAUUUUUCCUUAUCUGUAAAAUUAGGAAGACAAUACAGUAUCUACCACAAAGGGUCUUGUGAGGAUUAAUUGGGUUUAUCUGCAUAAAGCACUUAGAAAAGAAUCUUGUUAUACAGUAAGCACUUAAUAAAUGUCCACUGGCUUCAUCAGUACCAUUACCGUUGAAAGCCUUUUAACAGCAAAAACUACAACUCUCACUGUGUCCACAGUAGUGGGCUUGUGGAUGGAGCUCAGAUAUUUGUUGGGCUUUUGAUCAAGGGACCAUUCCAGUGAAUCAGAAAGUUCCUGUGACCACUUAACAUAUUACACGCUUGCUUGUGUACUGCUCUUAGAUGAUAUAAAAACAAAUCAAAUUCCCAAACCAAAAAGCUGCACUCUUUUGUCUGGGUAAAUACAGCUAUGACAUGUCUAUUUCCAUGGUUUAGAAUAUCACCAGUGGGAAUCUACUGUGGAAAAUUGAGUACAACACUAUCAUCAUAUGAUUUGUUUUGCUCAUAUUUGGCUGUGCCAUUGGCUGCGGAGCCAGGCAGCGAACUCCACACAAUGAGGAGCCUGUGAAAACGCAGAGAAGGCAAGAAAGGAUGCAAACAUUUAGGCAGCAUCUGAUGGUAGCUGGCUUGUGGUUUACCUGGCCUUUGGUUAGAUAACUGUGCCUGAUCCCUAUGGCCAGGAAGGAAGGUAGGGUCAUGUACUACAAAUUUUGACCUUGUACAUGAGGAAUAUAAAGACAAAUUAGCCACUGCCAGAAUGACUAAAAUUAAAAAGACUGACAAGGAUGACAGUGCUAAUGAAAAUGAAGAUCUGUACAACAAAAGUACAGGCCUACCUCAGAGAUAUUGGAGUGUUCAGUUCCAGACCACGCAAUAAAGUGAAUAUCACAAUGAAGAGCUGAAGAAUUCACAUUUGGGCUGAUGGGCCUGGGGUAGGGAUGACCAACAGACCACAUGCUUCUUGUCUCUUCUACUCCCUGAUCCUCUGAUAGACAGGGCUAAGUGAUCAUCCACUCCUUCCACCCUCCAGCCUCCGAGUGGGCCACUUUUCAAGCAUGGAAUUCCAGGGAGCCCUGGAAUCCUGUGGAUACCGAGGGACGAUUGUACAUUUUGAGAACCGAAGCCCGGUGCUACCCUGUUGCAGCGAUGAAGUAUCCAGGUCACCUGGAGAAAGCUGACAUAAGAGCAGGCACACAGCAGGAAGCUUUGAUCCUCAUCUUCUCUCUGGCUGCAGCCCUCAGCUCUUGUGCACCAACUCUGACCAAUGACUAGGACUGGCUGCUCGGAGUACAGCUGUAUUGAGAAAGAUUCUGAGGCUGGGUCUGCAUUCAGCAGGAAAAAAAAUGAAGAGGUGUAACACUAUGGACGAGUGGGCAACUGGCUCUUCAGGCUUGGAACCAAGAGGGGGCAGCAGAGAGCAGAGAAGAAUUGGUUGGCUUGGGCUGACCCAGACCUAGGAAAACUUCCAAUCUUCUUCUUCUUCCCUCAAAACCGAAUCCUUGUGGACUCACUCUUGAGACUAUUGUCCACACAAGUGGUGUGGUCCAAGGCCACAGCAAGAAAGGUCUGAGGGAGUUCUUUGGGGUUCAGGUGGAGAAAAGCCUGUGCUGGAUGCCAGGCUGCUCUGAGAACAGGAAGGAAGAUAAUAAUGUUAACAGCAACAGUUACAAUUACCCAGCCCCUGUAGGGUGCCAGGCCCUCUGCCAAGGUGCUUUCUUUUCAUUCUCUCAAAGACUACUUGAGGUGGGGAAACCCCCAGUUUACAGAUGAGAAAACAGGGUCCCAGAGUGGUUAAAUACCUUGCCCAUGAUCACGUGACUAAGGGAGGGCCAAGCCACAUUUUAGACUCUUGCCUGUCCUGCCCUCUGUGUUAUGGUGCCCUUCCAGGAAGGAGGCAGAAAGGUGCACCUGGAGUUAGAAUAUCCUUGGGGAGUGUCCCGGACCCAAGGGAAGGCAAACGGUCCUUCUGGUACAGACUGCUGUCUCCUGAUGGCCACGGGUCUCCUGACAGAUUUAGCCAAUUCACUGGCUCACAGGUCCAUGCACCAUCCUCAGCAGAGCCGGGGUAAGGUAGCUGGGCUCGAACAGCCCCAGAAAAAGGCAAAAAGAAAGAUAACAGAAACUUGUAUGGAACUUUCAAGUACUCACUGUGGAAGUCAUUGAUUUAUCUGCCUACUGUGAGAGUUAUGUCACGUUGGAAGGUCACAUUAGAACGCCCCUCACCUCCUGCAGCCUCAGCUCCACCCUGGGCUCAGAGAUCAAUCCUUGCCUUAUUUAGGGAAGCACAUCCAAGCAUAUUUGAAACUUUUGGGAUGGGCUUGGGGAUACUGGCACCAGGGACAUCUUGCUGUCAGUACUGUCCUGAUUCUGAGAACUCCACUAACGCCACAUUCCUCAAUCCAAGCCUGGAUCUGGGACUCAGGCUGCUGCCUCACUAAAUGCCUUAUCUUUUGGGUCACUGCAGACCAGGGCCCUGCCUUCUUUAGCCAAUGUCUGUUUCCCUCAUCUGGCAGUAGGACAUCAGUCUACCAAAAGAGUCACAUGUUCAUAUCCCAGCUUAGGUCCAAGUUGUGAACCAACUUCAUUUCUUAAUGUAAUCACUUUUUUGGUAUUGCUUUUUUUCUCUAAAAAGUAUGUAUAUUUUCUGAUCCUACAUGUAAUAUUUUCUGGGCCAGUUGCAGUGGCACACACCUGAGCUACUCAAGGAAGCUGAGGCGGGAGGAUCCCUUGAGCCCAGGAGUUUGAGGUUACAGUGAACUAUGAUUGCGUCACUGUACUCCAGCCUAGACAGCUAGCAAGACCCCAUCUCUUAAAAAAAAUUGUUAGAAAAUACUUUAAAGCAUCAAGGAGAAAAAAAUUUCUCCUAUCUUUCUGGAUACAUUUUUCUCAACUGCGCUUAUUACUAUCUAACACCGUCCUUUACUUAGGUUUUCAUUGUUUGUCUCCUUCUCUAGAAUGGGAGCUUGACAACAUGAGGGAUUUCAUGUUUUGUUCACUGCAAGUUCCUUAAUUCCCAGAACAAUACCUGGCACAUUUACAGAAUGAAUGAAUUAAUUCAUAAUGCCAUGACAUCAGAUAUAAUUUUAUUUAAUAUUAUAGAGGGAACAUUUUUCAAUGUCAAUAAAAUUUUUUCAAAAGCAUCAUUUUAAAUGGCUGAUAAUAAUCUAGGGUAUGGACAUCUAAGCAUGUGUUAAGUAUGCCUGCAGUUUUGGAUACUGAAAGAUUACACAGAUUAAUUUGAUUCCCCAUUUAUCAAGCUACAGCAGGGCCAGGCUCACUUUGUUGUUUGGUUUCUUAGUUUCUUGUUCCUGGUCGAAUGAACAGAUGAGACUGGUGAAUUAUGGAGAAUUUCUGUCACUGCCCUCUCUAGCCUUGGCAUAGCACUGUGGCUCCUCUCUCCAAAUUUCUAGGUGAUCCAGCCGGCUGGGCUCUAUGUACUGAAGCAUAGGCUGCCCAGCGUAAGCAGAAUUGCUAACAGGAUACUAUUAUGGUACCCACCUGUGUGGCCUUGUGGGGGUGGGGGAACUUACCUUUGUUCCUGUCCUCCUCUAGAAAAUCAGUUACAUUUCUCUUGCCUCCCUCCCAAGGAUGAUUUCCAGGGAAGCAAAUUAAAAAGCGGUGAAAAGCCUUUAACAAUUACUCAGAAAUCUAUCAUUUCAUCCUCUUUCACCUCCAGUUCAAGUUUAAGAACA
rnacentral:lncRNA from 1 species